rnacentral:rRNA from 1 species
GAUGAUCGCUGGCGGCGUGCCUAAUACAUGCAAGUCGAGCGAACAGACGAGGAGCUUGCUCCUCUUACGUUAGCGGCUGACGGGUGAGUAACACGUGGAUAACCUACCUAUAAGACUUGUAUAACUUCGUGAAGCCGGAGCUAAUACCGGAUAAUAUAUUUAUCCGCAUGGUUCAAUAGUGACAUACGGUUUUGCUGUCACUUAUAGAUGGAUCCGCGCCGCAUUAGCUAGUUGGUAAGGUAACGGCUUACCAAGGCAACGAUGCGUAGCCGACCUGCGAGGGUCAUCGGCUACACUGGAACAGAGAGACGGACCAGCUUCCCAAGGGAGGCAGCAGUAGGGAAUCUUCAGCCAUGGGAGAAAGCCGGACGGAGCAACGCCGCGUGAGUGCUGAAGGUCUUCGGAUCGUAAAACUCUGUUAUUAGGGCAGAACAAAUGUGUAAGUAACUAUGCCCGACUUGACGGUACCUACUCAGAAAGCAACGGCUCACUACGCG